rnacentral:rRNA from 1 species
UCCUACGGGGCGCAGCAGUGGGGAAUAUUGGGCAAUGGGCGCAAGCCUGACCCAGCAACGCCGCGUGAAGGAAGAAGGCUUUCGGGUUGUAAACUUCUUUUAUGAGGGACGAAAGAAAUGACGGUACCUCAUGAAUAAGCCACGGCUAACUACGUGCCAGCAGCCGCGGUAAUACGUAGGUGGCAAGCGUUAUCCGGAUUUACUGGGUGUAAAGGGCGUGUAGGCGGGACUGCAAGUCAGAUGUGAAAAUUAGGGGCUCAACCCAUAACCUGCAUUUGAAACUGUAGGUCUUGAGUGAUGGAGAG